GUCGAGAAUCUUUCACAAUGGGGGCAACCCUGAUGGAGCGACGCCGCGUGGAGGAUAAGGUCUUCGGAUUGUAAACUCCUGUCAUGCGUGAACAAGGUUGCUUGGUUAAUACCUGGGCAAAUUGAUGGUAACGCAAGAGGAAGAGACGGCUAACUCUGUGCCAGCAGCCGCGGUAAUACAGAGGUCUCAAGCGUUGUUCGGAAUCACUGGGCGUAAAGGUUGCGUAGGUGGCGUGGUAAGUCAGAUGUGAAAGCCCGGGGCUCAACCUCGGAACUGCAUCCGAUACUGCCAUGCUAGAGUACUGGAGAGGUGACUAGAAUUCUCGGUGUAGCAGUGAAAUGCGUAGAUAUCGAGAGGAAUACCAAAGGCGUAGGCAGGUCACUGGACAGUUACUGACACUGAGGCACGAAGGCCAGGGGAGCGAACGGGAUUAGAUACCCGAGUAGUCC
rnacentral:rRNA from 1 species